AUUGAACGCUGGCGGGAGGCUUAACACAUGCAAGUCGAGCGGAGCGGCGGACGGGGGAGUAAUGCUUAGGAAUCUGCCCGGUCGUGGUGGAUAGCGUCCGGAAACGGGCGCUAAUACCGCAUACUAUCAGAUUAGCCUCGGCCGGAUUCGCUAGUUGGUGGGGUAAAGGCCUACCAAGGCGACGAUCCGUAACUGGUCUGAGAGGAUGAUCAGUCACACUGGGACUGAGACACGGUCCAGACUCCUACGGGAGGCAGCAGUGGGGAAUAUUGGACAAUGGGCGAAAGCCUGAUCCAGCCAUGCCGCGUGUGUGAAGAAGGUCUUCGGGUUGUAAAGCACUUUAAGCAGAGAGGCGUUACCAACAGAAUAAGCACCGGCUAACUUCGUGCCAGCAGCCGCGGUAAUUC
rnacentral:rRNA from 1 species